rnacentral:rRNA from 1 species
GACGAACGCUGGCGGCGUGCUUAACACAUGCAAGUCGAACGGAAAGGCCCUGCUUUUGUGGGGUGCUCGAGUGGCGAACGGGUGAGUAACACGUGAGUAACCUGCCCUUGACUUUGGGAUAACUUCAGGAAACUGGGGCUAAUACCGGAUAGGAGCUCCUGCUGCAUGGUGGGGGUUGGAAAGUUUCGGCGGUUGGGGAUGGACUCGCGGCUUAUCAGCUUGUUGGUGGGGUAGUGGCUUACCAAGGCUUUGACGGGUAGCCGGCCUGAGAGGGUGACCGGCCAAAUGGGGACUGGGAUACGGCCCAGACUCCUACGGGGGGCAGCAGUGGGGAAUAUUGCACAAUGGGGGGAGGCCUGAUGCAGCAACGCCGCGUGCGGGAUGCCGGCCUUGGGGUUGUAAACCGCUUUCGCCUGGGACGAAGCGUGAGUGACGGUAAUGGGUAAAGAAGCACCGGCUAACUACGU